CGGCAAACCCCUCGCCGAGAGGCGCGCGAUGAGCGACAGGCUCCUUUAUGCGUGGUGGGGUGUUUGGAAGGAAAGGAAUCGGCGUGUGUUCCGGAACGCGGUCUUGCCCGCGCUUCAGGUGGCGCACUUGAUUUGGGAGGACAUUCGUAGCCGGCUUAGAGCGUGUUCCUCUGAUCCGGGAGAUUAGGCUUUUGUUCCUUCUUUUUCUUUUCCUUUCUUUUCUUUCCUUUUCUCUCUUCUGUUUCUCUGAGUUCCACCUUAGAACUCUUUGUACAGUUCUAUUCCUUCUAAUCGAAUGACGGAGAUCGACUGUCUUUUCCUCAAAAAAAAAACUUAAGAUGAAAUCUAUUCCCUAUCUGGUUGCUGGAAAAUCACAAGAGAUUAGCCUAGAAAAG
rnacentral:lncRNA from 1 species